rnacentral:rRNA from 1 species
GUCCUCCCAACAGAACAAACCCCCCGGCGUAAAAUGCGCCAAGGAAUCUUAAAUGAAAAGAGAAGGUAACCAGCACCCUAGCGUGCCGGGAAAGGAAAUUCCAAGGGGCGGUGGGUUUCCUUGUUAAAAAACUAAAGAACUUUCGGAAACGAAUAUCUUGCUUCUCCCUUCAAGAAAAAACGAACCAAAAGGCAAUACUUGGGGGAAAUUGCAAAAUCCCGGAAACCACCAAGUUUUUAAACGCAAGUUGCGCCCAAAGCCUCCGGGCCAAGGGAACGCCGGCCGGGGGGCAAGGAACCGUGGCCCCAUCAAAUUCCCUUUGGGGGAAAAUCGAAUAAGGGGCGAAAAAGGGCCUCCCUGGGGCCCCCCCUCGCGGUGGGCCAAAAUUUGAUUCGUGGGGAAAAUGGCCAC